rnacentral:SRP_RNA from 1 species
GCUGAGCUCAGUAGCGUGAGCUUGUAACCAAGUGGGAGCAAUAAGGUGAUUGGGACAAAUUAAAUCUUCAAUCCUUGACAUAAAUAGAGGGUUCAUUUGGGAUUAUGCGAUGCUCGCAUAGUAUGAAGUAUUGUUAUUCAAACACUAAUAAUACUUUGACCUAGCAGUAUGAGUAGAUGGGGUAAAUUUCCCAUCGUUGGCUGGCUUAAUAGAGCAGCACCCUCGCGCAUAAUCAAAAAUGCCCACUAACUAUGUCAAGCUGAUAUUAGUCUGGACCAUCUUCUUU